UUUCAUCUGAGCUGUGCUGUGUUUGGACAUUUUCUUAGAUAUUUUGGGUUGAGACGAUUUAUUUGAUUUUCAUAGAAUUUUUAA